GUAGGUGAACCUGCGGAAGGAUCAUUAAUGAUUGGAGUUGCUUCACAGCGCUCACCCUUCAUUCCCAACUCUGUGCACUUUAUAUGACUGUGGACUUGGCGCGAGCCUCGACCACAGCUCACCCUUAAAACACCAGUCAAAGAAUGUAACAAAACAAAAAACAAAAAAAAACUUUCAACAACGGAUCUCUUGGCUCUC
rnacentral:misc_RNA from 1 species